rnacentral:rRNA from 1 species
ACCUUUUGUAUAAUGGGUCAGCGACUUAUAUUCUGUAGCAAGGUUAACCGAAUAGGGGAGCCGAAGGGAAACCGAGUCUUAACUGGGCGUUAAGUUGCAGGGUAUAGACCCGAAACCCGGUGAUCUAGCCAUGGGCAGGUUGAAGGUUGGGUAACACUAACUGGAGGACCGAACCGACUAAUGUUGAAAAAUUAGCGGAUGACUUGUGGCUGGGGGUGAAAGGCCAAUCAAACCGGGAGAUAGCUGGUUCUCCCCGAAAGCUAUUUAGGUAGCGCCUCGUGAAUUCAUCUCCGGGGGUAGAGCACUGUUUCGGCAAGGGGGUCAUCCCGACUUACCAACCCGAUGCAAACUGCGAAUACCGGAGAAUGUUAUCACGGGAGACACACGGCGGGUGCUAACGUCCGUCGUGAAGAGGGAAACAACCCAGACCGCCAGCUAAGGUCCCAAAGUCAUGGUUAAGUGGGAAACGAUGUGGGAAGGCCCAGACAGCCAGGAUGUUGGCUUAGAAGCAGCCAUCAUUUAAAGAAAGCGUAAUAGCUCACUGGUCGAGUCGGCCUGCGCGGAAGAUGUAACGGGGCUAAACCAUGCACCGAAGCUGCGGCAGCGACACUAUGUGUUGUUGGGUAGGGGAGC